UCCAUGUGGACAGCGCUGGGGUGGUGCAGGAACAGGCGAGCAAACAGCUGUGUGACGGGGGGUGCUGACGCUCUUUCCAAUCCACCUUAGGCUGGCGCCUUCCGCACCAUCUCCUCCGCCCUCUCGCUGCUCCGCUGGAGAAGACGGCGGCCCUCGACGGGAGGCCGCACAGCUUCCCGGUGCCCCGCUCCCGGGACCUACGCAGGCCCGAGGGCGCGCCGGCGGGGAACUUCCGAGGGGAAGGCCUGGCUCUACCCGCUGCCGCCCCCGGCGAGGGUUCCCAAUCCCCGCUCCAGGCUGCUCCCCCUGGGCCUCGGGUUCGCUCGGCCGCCCCCGCUCACGGAGGGAAGAGACGCGCUCCCCUCUCCCCGGACCCGUGUCUCCACUGGAAGAUUAAGGAAAGUUUAACGAGGUGGCCGGUACACUGGUUGAGGGCAGAAACCCAGGCUUCCUGUUGACGAUGCAUCCCCAGCAUCCAGCGCACAGAACAUCCUCAGCAGACGUUGAGCAGAGGUCGGGAAGAUGGAGGGAAUACCGUCUUAGGGAAUUUACCACGUGGACGCAGAUGGCUUCCCCUUCCAAACCCAUCCUUCAAUUUCCAGGCCCAAAUGACUAAAAGUCUGCAGAACAUCCCCAGUCACUUCACACCCAAAAUGCAAAUCCGACCUUAUGUUUUCGCAUAAGCCUACUCUGUUCCCAGGGAAUAGCACCACCAUUCAUGCUGUUGGUCCAAACAGAAAUCGGAGGAGGCCCCGUCUCAUUUUUCAGUCUCCGAUGUCUCCUUCAUGGAGUUCACCUAAUUACUUCUCAAAUCUAUCCAUUCUUCUCCCACUCCGUUGCCACUACCCUCUCUCACUAGGAUUUCUCCAAUCAUCUCCAACUCAUUGUGCCUGUCUCCAGUCGGAAUCUCUCUGGUGCAUAAAACCAACGUGAUUUUUAAAACAUUUUUAUUCUGAUCUUGUUACAACUUGUCAAUGAUUAAAACCCAUCAAUAGCU